rnacentral:tRNA from 1 species
AGGCGAUUAGUUAUAAUAAAAACAUUUGAUUUCGGCUCAAAAACUUAUGGUUAAAAUCCGUAAUUGCCUU